rnacentral:rRNA from 1 species
UACAGAGGGUGCGAGCGUUAAUCGGAAUUACUGGGCGUAAAGCGCACGUAGGCGGCUUGGUAUGUCGGGUGUGAAAUCCCCGGGCUCAACCUGGGAACUGCAUCCGAUACUGGAUGGCUUGAAUUCGGGAGAGGGAUGCAGAAUUCCAGGUGUAGCGGUGAAAUGCGUAGAUAUCUGGAGGAAUACCGGUGGCGAAGGCGGCAUCCUGGACCGAGAUUGACGCUGAUGAGCGAAAGCUAGGGGAGCAAACGGG